ensembl:snoRNA LOC120101289 small nucleolar RNA SNORA17
UCUGCUCCCAGAGGCAUUGCAAGUGGGGCUGCUGGGUCACAUGGGUGUCAGUAGGUGGCAGAGAGGAGCGAGGCUCUGUCUACACUCGGUGUUCUGACCUAUGAACAUUGGAAUGAUUAGUAGCUUAACAGU